rnacentral:rRNA from 1 species
UACGGAGGAUGCGAGCGUUAUCCGGAUUUAUUGGGUUUAAAGGGUGCGUAGGCGGAUCGUUAAGUCAGUGGUCAAAUUGAGGGGCUCAACCCCUUCCCGCCAUUGAAACUGGCGAUCUUGAGUGGAAGAGAAGUAUGCGGAAUGCGUGGUGUAGCGGUGAAAUGCAUAGAUAUCACGCAGAACCCCGAUUGCGAAGGGAGCAUGCCGGCUUCCUACUGACGCUGAAGCACGAAAGCGUGGGGAUCGAACAGG